rnacentral:rRNA from 1 species
ACGCUGGCGGCGUGCCUAAUACAUGCAAGUAGAACGCUGAAGAGAGGAGCUUGCUCUUCUUGGAUGAGUUGCGAACGGGUGAGUAACGCGUAGGUAACCUGCCUUGUAGCGGGGGAUAACUAUUGGAAACGAUAGCUAAUACCGCAUAACAAUGGGUGACACAUGUCGUUUAUUUGAAAGGGGCAAUUGCUCCACUACAAGAUGGACCUGCGUUGUAUUAGCUAGUAGGUGAGGUAACGGCUCACCUAGGCGACGAUACAUAGCCGACCUGAGAGGGUGAUCGGCCACACUGGGACUGAGACACGGCCCAGACUCCUACGGGAGGCAGCAGUAGGGAAUCUUCGGCAAUGGGGGCAACCCUGACCGAGCAACGCCGCGUGAGUGAAGAAGGUUUUCGGAUCGUAAAGCUCUGUUGUAAGUCAAGAACGAGUGUGAGAGUGGAAAGUUCACACUGUGACGGUAGCUUACCAGAAAGGGACGGCUAACUACGUGCCAGCAGCCGCGGUAAUACGUAGGUCCCGAGCGUUGUCCGGAUUUAUUGGGCGUAAAGCGAGCGCAGGCGGUUUGAUAAGUCUGAAGUUAAAGGCUGUGGCUCAACCAUAGUUCGCUUUGGAAACUGUCAAACUUGAGUGCAGAAGGGGAGAGUGGAAUUCCAUGUGUAGCGGUGAAAUGCGUAGAUAUAUGGAGGAACACCGGUGGCGAAAGCGGCUCUCUGGUCUGUAACUGACGCUGAGGCUCGAAAGCGUGGGGAGCGAACAGGAUUAGAUACCCUGGUAGUCCACGCCGUAAACGAUGAGUGCUAGGUGUUGGAUCCUUUCCGGGAUUCAGUGCCGCAGCUAACGCAUUAAGCACUCCGCCUGGGGAGUACGACCGCAAGGUUGAAACUCAAAGGAAUUGACGGGGGCCCGCAC